rnacentral:rRNA from 1 species
UACGUAGGGGGCAAGCGUUGUCCGGAAUCAUUGGGCGUAAAGAGCGUGUAGGCGGCUCGGUAAGUCCGCUCUGAAAGCCCGGGGCUCAACCCCGGGAGGCGGGCGGACACUGUCGGGCUAGAGUCCGGAAGAGGCGAGUGGAAUUCCUGGUGUAGCGGUGAAAUUCGUAGAUAUUGGGAAGAACACCAGUGGCGAAGGCGGCUCACUGGCUCGUAACUGACGCUCAGGCGCGACAGCGUGGGGAUCAAACAGG